GGUGGCGAUGAGCCUCGGUGGCACGUGGGCGCCGAGAGAGUUCUUGUUUUGUUUUUUUGUGGGCUGAACUCUGUGAUGUUCAUACAAAGGUCAAAGUUACGCUUUGGGGACUUGAGUUUUCCUUCCUCUUCCCUUUCUCACUUCCUUAAUGACGCCUGGCUGCUCCACGCUAGCUCGUUAGAGCUCGUAUUAGCAUGCGUGCUACCCGAUCACGGAAAGUCAGACUGGCCACAGAGGACGUGUACUCCGAGAAGACCUUUAGCUGUCACCGAGACACUGCUUUGAUGUCUUCCUGUGGGACGUACUUGUGCCACAUAGGAUCCUCUGAAAAUCAUCCUGCUCUCAAGUCAUAUGAACUCCAGUCGCACGCCAUCAUGAGUCCAUUCCAACCCCGACUAACGAUUCCUCCCUCGGACACUAAUCUCGACUUAUUUCAUUUUAUUUUACAUGAGGGGUUUGGAUGACAGCACCCGUUUGGAACAGGGAUGGAUGAAAAUGAUUAAAUGUCAUCUGCACUUAAUGUAAACCAUGUAAACAUCAGCUCUUAAGUGCGUGGACGGAUGAAGCUAAUUUUGUGUUCAGAUAUGCAAUUAAAAUAAUACAACAGCAUAUAAUGAGAGCAGAAUGCCCUUGCAAAAUGUCACUGUAUUAUAAAUAAACAUUAAAUAUGACAUGUUAGGCAAAUAAUUUUUUAUUACCACUUAUAUAUGAAUUUUUAAUUCCAUAUAUGGGCAUAUGAUGAAUUUUUAAAUGUCCAGUGGUGAUCUACUGUGAUCAAACCGCAGCUAGGUGGUGCUAUUGAGAGCCAUGCCUCGGAGUUGGAAAACAAAGUGCAUCAGAGCUCACAAAAAUCACCCAAAAAUUCAACUGCGUAGCAUUUUUUAACAUGGCUAUGCAAAAUGUAUGAUCAUCUACAAUUGUUGCCCUUCAAAUGACAGCAAUGACUAUUGCAGGUCUGCACCCACAAGGCUCACGAUGUGAAAGGAGUAUGUUGCCAUACAUCACAACGUUUAACCCUUUGAACUGUCAGCGACACUUCACUCAGCCUCCCUCUCGACACGUUCAUCUGUCAGACGGAAAUCAUAAAUACAAUCAUUUCCCUAACGUUGUCUCUUUAUUCUGUCAACUUUUUCCAAAUGUGAGUGUGCCUCUUCAUUUCCGACACAUGAAUAAGUCAGAGAUCAUUAAUAUGUCUCUUUCAUUACACAGCGGGAUUCAGAAUUGCUUGCCGAGACAUGUCUAUGCAGGGUUCGGGCUACUGAUGUCCGAUUUGUCAGGCUAUGUCACCACAUCCUUGUCGAAGUAAUUUGCAUACAUCUAAAAAAAAAAAAA